rnacentral:rRNA from 1 species
CCUACGGGAGGCAGCAGUGAGGAAUAUUGCACAAUGGGGGAAACCCUGAUGCAGCAACGCCGCGUGGAGGAUGACGCAUUUCGGUGUGUAAACUCCUUUUAUAUGUCAAGAAAAUGACGGUAGCAUAUGAAUAAGCACCGGCU